rnacentral:rRNA from 1 species
GCAAUGGGCGAAAGCUGACGGAGCAACGCCGCGUGAGUGAUGAAGGUCUUCGGAUCGUAAAACUCUGUUAUCAGGGAAGAACAAACGUGUAAGUAACUGUGCACGUCUUGACGGUACCUGAUCAGAAAGCCACGGCUAA